GUCUUUUUGAAUAUAAUUUAAAGUUUAAUCUGCCCACUGAUAAAUAUUAAAGGGCUGCAGUAUAUUGACUGUACAAAGGUAGCAUAAUCAUUAGUUUUUUAAUUGGAAACUUGUAUGAAAGAUUUGAUGAAAUAUGAACUGUCUCUUAAUUAAUAUUAGAAAUUUAUUUUUUAGUUAAAAAGCUAAAAUAAUUUUAAAAGACGAGAAGACCCUAUAGAGUUUUAUAUUUAAUGUUAUUUUAAAAAAUUAUGAAAAUUAAUAUUAAAAUAAAAUUAAAUAUUAUAUUGGGGUGAUAGAAAAAUUAAAUUAACUUUUUUUAAAAAUUUAACAUAAAUAAAUGAAUAAAUGAUCCAUUAUUAAUGAUUAUAAGAAAAAAUUACCUUAGGGAUAACAGCGUAAUAUUUUUUUUUAGUUCAAAUAAAAAAAAAAGUUUGCGACCUCGAUGUUGGAUUAAGAUAAAAAUUAAAUGCAAAAGUUUAAAAUUUUGAUCUGUUCGAUCAUUAAAAUCUU
rnacentral:rRNA from 1 species